rnacentral:sRNA from 14 species
UCGCGCAGCUCGAGUUUCGUCACGGCUCGGCUGAGCGUGGCCGCACGGUAUUCGACGGGGUGCUAGGAAAUUACCCGAAGCGUGU